AUGUCACAUGUUCAAGAUAGCCUGCCAUAUGUUUCAUUAAAGGUAAUCUAUAUCUGGAGGAGAUUAAAACCAGGGACAGAGAAAAGCAAUAGUUUAACUCUCACUCUACUUCCUCAGUUUAACAGGAGCCAAGUUCAAGAGGACAUAAGAACAACAAAGUCAGUGAAGGAACCCAUUGGAAGUCAGUUAUUUAAUGCCCUUUCUGCUUCCUCGACUUAAUGAAAGGCAACUCGUUUUUCAAUUUGGGUCACCAAAUACCACCUUGCUUCGAAAUCUUCCCUCUCUCCCCUUCAGUUGAGAAAGGAGGCUGCCAAGAAGUCAGAACAAUGGAAGCUAAGCAAAGAUACAGAAUCAAUUUCUGAAGACCACGAGGGAAGAAGCUGAUGAAGACUCUAUGUAUAGUUAGAUAAUGGGACGUUUCAUCCCUGGAAAGAUAAUAUUAAUAACUGCUGGAGGAGGGGAGAACUGUGGAGCAAAGAAUCUUGAGGGUGAGCAGUGCUGCUCAAACCACCUGUGGCAAUAGAUCAGUUUUAAAUUUCCAAUCCAGGAGUUCCCGUCGUGGCGCAGUGGUUAACGAAUCCGACUAGGAACCAUGAGGUUGCGGGUUCGGUCCCUGCCCCUGCUCAGUGGGUUAACGAUCUGGCGUUGCCGUGAGCUGUGGUGUAGGUUGCAGACGCGGCUCAGAUCCCGCGUUGCUGUGGCUCUGGCGUAGGCCAGUGGCUACAGCUCCGAUUCGACCCCUAGCCUGGGAACCUCCAUAUGCCACGGGAACGGCCCCCCAAAAUAGCAAAAAGACAAAAAAUAAAAAAUAAAAAUAAAUAAAUAAAUUUCCA
rnacentral:lncRNA from 1 species